UUCUAAGCAUGAGCCAUUGGACUUGGCCAGUAGUUCUAUUUUUAAGUUUUUGACUUUCAUUUCAGAAAGGAUCACUUUGGAGACUGCAGCAUAUAGAAGGCAAGGACAGAAUCCAGGUGACCGACUGAGGAGUGGCUGAGAUUCUGCAGGGGAGAGAUGAGGUGGCUUAGAGCAAUACAGAACCGCAGGCUGGUGUGGGAGUGCUCAGAUUCUGUAAAGAUCACUAUGGCCCUUGGUUGCCCUCCUGCUUCCAACACUAAAAAAUUGAGACCAGACAGACUAAAUCACUUCUGCAUAACUGUUAAAGAAACUCAUCUUAACAGGUGGAGCCUGGAGUGCCCGGUUAAUGUUUCAAAGGCAAGUUCAUGA
rnacentral:lncRNA from 1 species